GACGUAGGGGGCCAGCGUUGUUCGGAAUUACUGGGUGUAAAGGGUUCGUAGGCGGUGUAGCAAGUCGGGAGUGAAAUCUCUGGGCUUAACCCAGAGGCUGCUUCCGAAACUGCUGUGCUUGAGUGUGGGAGAGGCGCGUGGAAUUGCAGGUGUAGCGGUGAAAUGCGUAGAUAUCUGCAGGAACACCCGUGGCGAAAGCGGCGCGCUGGACCACUACUGACGCUGAGGAACGAAAGCUAGGGGAGCAAACAGA
rnacentral:rRNA from 1 species